rnacentral:rRNA from 1 species
UACGUAGGGACCGAGCGUUGUCCGGAAUCAUUGGGCGUAAAGAGCGUGUAGGCGGCCACUUAAGUCCUGCGUGAAAUCUUGCGGCUCAACCGCAAGCGGUCGUGGGAAACUGGGUGGCUAGAGUGCGGGAGAGGAGAGUGGAAUUCCCAGUGUAGAGGUGAAAUUCGUAGAUAUUGGGAAGAACACCGGUGGCGAAGGCGGCGACCUGGUCCUUGACUGACGCUGAGGCGCGAAAGCGUGGGGAGCAAACAGG